AACUCACCCUUUACUGCAUACUGCAACUACAACCGACUACCAGAACUGCAUAGUCGUCAUUGUUCCUUACAGUGGACACAAUCAUUGCAUGAUGUGGCUGCAACGUAGGGUCGCCCACAAUGUGCCACAAAACUGCUUGGACAAGUAUGAAGAAAAGUGUGGCGUCAAGAUACCAACGUUCGACAGCGACCUCUGCAAGGAUGACUAAUAAAGUAGCAUUUGACAGUCACCGAACUGAGCUCGCACUAACCACUUGGAUCAAAAAGCUCAAGGUGAUAAAACACCGA